rnacentral:lncRNA from 1 species
AGGAGAGUGAUCUAGAGAGGGGUAAGCAUCAUUUUCCUUCCUGCUGAUGCAGAAAACCCCUUUGGCCCUAUUAAACUUGUUGGUGAGAUGGAAAUUAUUCUCAAACACUAGUUGGACAGUUGGUCUGGUAUAAAAUUAUUAUUAUUUCUUAAGUGCUAAGUCCUCUUUCCUGUAAUUUAUUUUGAGGAGGUAUCUACAUCCUGUGGUUUGGCUCUAAGAUCUUUGUUUAGCAGGAAGGAGGGCUCAUAUAUAUAUACACACAUAUAUAUAAAAUAUAUGCAGGCUUUUAUGUGUAUAUGUACUUAUAUAAAGAUAGAUAUGAAUAUUUCAGAGUAAUACAGAAAAUGCAGUCUCACAAAAACAGAGUCUGAGCAGGGAGACGAGAUAUUUUUAACGAAAAUCUUCUCUUUUUCUCUUUUAAGAUGAACUCACCGAAGAACUUGGUAAGUCUUUUCCUUCCUUUACCAACAGCAAAUACCAAACACUUAUCUUCCUCUUUGAGCUUCGUCAGAAGGGAAUCCCAAUAAAUGCAUGAAGCAAACAUCAGCGAAGUUUAAUACUGAUGAAGUCGAAUUUUUGCAACUUUAUCACAAGUAGCAUGUUGGCACAUCUCCAGCUGGCAUUACUUGCAAUAUAUAGGAAUUUCUCUCUAGUCUUAUUUUUUUUUCACUUAUUUUUGGAGAGGUUUAGUUGGAGAAUAUGACAGAAGAACCAAGAAGCACCACUGAGCUUCUUCUGAUAAACAAAUAUCCAACAGAUUCCAGCCCCUAAUUAUCUUCCUGUGAUGGAAUCUAAUUAUCUUCCUAUAAUUUUAAGAUUUUAAUUUUAAUUCUAAAAUAAGAGGGUUUGAUAUUUUAUCUUUGAAAGAUUUGGGAUGGGAAGCCUUGUAUAAAUCUCCACAAUGUAACAUGAUAACUGCAAAAAAGGGGAAGAUAUUUGGGUCGUCUAAUGGAAGAGAUGAAAUCACUGAAGAACUUGGGGAACGUGAUAAAAAAAUAGAGGAACUCACUGAAGAGCUUGGUAAGUCAUUUCUUUUUACCUUCUCCCUUUAUUUUCUUUCCCUUUCUCUCUCUUUUUAUUUUCUUCUCUCUCUCUUUUUUUUUUUUUUUAAUGUUCUUCUCUCUGCUAAUCUAUUACAUUGUUCUGAGUUUUACAUUUUCUCUCAUAUCUCAGUUUAGAAAAAUAAAAACUGCAUUGCAGUACAGCACUGCAGGAGAAAUUUUCCAGCUGCAAUUUGCAAAACCAUGAAACAAAGGGUGGGUGCUUCUAACAUUUACUUUUCCUUUCUGUUCUUUUUCAGCCAAGCAGACUGCCCAGAUUGGUAAGAAUUUGUUCUCUCUAGUAUGAAACGAAAGCACGUGCAGGUGCAAGUUUUGCUCUGAAUCUUGCACUUUUCCUUUAAUAUGACCAUUCAUAUCCUAAGUUGCUACUUUCUUGCAUCUCUUCAUUCUCCCUGCACAACCCAAACGCCAAUCUGUAGGAUUUUUUUUUGAAAAUAAAGACUUUGGAAAAUAAAGGGGUUGAUUUGAGGAUCUUUUAUUGAGGGCUUUCUUUAAUUCCAUGGUAUUUAAAUCCACCAAGAGCAAUUAACAUUUAACAUCACUAAAUUUGUUUUUAGAAGAGAAAUGUAGAAUCCUCCACAAUUCAUUUAGUUCAUGAA